CGCGGCCUAUCAGCUUGUUGGUGGGGUAAAGGCCUACCAAGGCAACGACGGGUAGCUGGUCUGAGAGGACGAUCAGCCACACUGGGACUGAGACACGGCCCAGACUCCUACGGGAGGCAGCAGCAGGGAAUAUUGCACAAUGGGCGCAAGCCUGAUGCAGCGACGCCGCGUGAGGGAUGAAGGCCCUCGGGUUGUAAACCUCUUUCAGGAGGGACGAAGCGAAAGUGACGGUACCUCCAGAAGAAGCCCCGGCCAACUACGUGCCAGCAGCCGCGGUAAUACGUAGGGGGCGAGCGUUGUCCGGAUUCAUUGGGCGUAAAGAGCUCGUAGGCGGCUCAGUAAGUCGGCCGUGAAAGCCCGGAGCUCAACUCCGGGACGCCGGUCGAUACUGCUGUGGCUAGGGUCCGGUAGAGGAGAGUGGAAUUCCCGGUGUAGCGGUGAAAUGCGCAGAUAUCGGGAGGAACACCAGUAGCGAAGGCGGCUCUCUGGGCCGGUACCGACGCUGAGGAGCGAAAGCUAGGGGAGCAAACAGGAUUAGAUACCCUGGUAGUCCUAGCCGUAAACGUUGGGCACUAGGUGUGGCGGAUUCAUUGACAUCUGCCGUGCCGGCGCUAACGCAUUAAGUGCCCCGCCUGGGGAGUACGG
rnacentral:rRNA from 1 species